CUGAGGUAUAAUGUUUGUUGUUAUUCACAUAUGGACCCUUCUGAGCGAUAUUCUUGGAUGUUUUGACAACAGGGUAGAUAUCCUUUCGACCUCUAAAAAUCGGCAAUGGAAGAAUCCAUGAUCUUUGAUCAAGAAAGAAGAUUUACAAAGUUUCCAUAUUUUUUGUCAGUGAGCUAGCAAUGAAUGGAAUAAGAUUAUCUAAAAAUCAAUAAAUUUUGAGAAAUACCUCAACACAUGAAGAAUAUUUUGCAUAAAACUUUAGUAAUGGCAAAAUUGAUUCUUCUACUCCUACUACAUAAUAAAGGGAUGAGAUACUACAACAUAGCCAGGGAUAAAAAAAUGUUACAUAGCAAGUAAUUGCAAGGGAUAUCAAGAAAUAUGUAUCGAGAGAUAGCAAGAGGGAUAGCAAGAGAUAGCAAAGAGAUCACUAGGAAUGGCAAAGGAUACCUAGGAUACUACUAGAUAGCAGGAGGAUAAGA